rnacentral:rRNA from 1 species
GUAGGUGGCAAGCGUUGUCCGGAAUUAUCGGGCGUAAAGCGCGCGCAGGCGGUCCUUUAAGUCUGAUGUGAAAGCCCACGGCUCAACCGUGGAGGGUCAUUGGAAACUGGGGGACUUGAGUACAGAAGAGGAAAGCGGAAUUCCAAGUGUAGCGGUGAAAUGCGUAGAGAUUUGGAGGAACACCAGUGGCGAAGGCGGCUUUCUGGUCUGUAACUGACGCUGAGGCGCGAAAGCGUGGGGAGCAAACAGGAUUAGAUACCCUGGUAGUCCACGCCGUAAACGAUGAGUGCUAAGUGUUAGGGGGUUUCCCGCCCCCCUUAGUGCUGCAGCUAACGCAUUAAGCACUCCGCCUGGGGAGUACGGCCGCAAGGCUG